GUCUACGGCCAUACCACUCUGAACAUGCCCGAUCUCAUCUGACCUUGGAAGCUAAGCAGGAUUGGGCCUUGUUAGUUUCCUUCUCCAAUAAUGAGAUUGAUGACU
ensembl:rRNA 5S_rRNA 5S ribosomal RNA